rnacentral:rRNA from 1 species
AUGAAUGCCUUGUUCUGGAAUGUUAGGGGUAUUUCAGCUGCAGGCAGAAAGCCUCUCAUUUUAGACACUUUAGCUAAAACCCAUGCCAAUGUCAUUGGCUUUCAGGAAACAAAGAAGGAAGAGUUCUCCCCUUCCUAUCUUAAAUCUUUAACAGGACAUAGGGAUUUUGCCUGGCAUCAUCUCCCUGCUACAGGCACUGCUGGGGGCAUCCUGGUGGGAGUGGAGCUAGAUGUCUUUGAGGUGAUCUCCUGGUCACACUUAAAUUUUUCUGUCAGUUGUGAGCUAAAGCAUAAAACCCUGGGUCAUAUUUUUAGGGUAAUUGUAGUAUAUGGAUCCCCCUAUGAGGAAGGCAAGGCAGCUUUUAUUUCUGAGCUACACUCUUUGUUUGUAGACAAUCACUUGCCCACCUGA